rnacentral:rRNA from 1 species
GGUCCCUACGGGACGCAGCAGUCGGGAAUAUUGCGCAAUGGAGGAAACUCUGACGCAGUGACGCCGCGUAUAGGAAGAAGGUUUUCGGAUUGUAAACUAUUGUCGUGAGGGAAGAAAUUGACAGUACCUCAGGAGGAAGCUCCGGCUAACUAUGUGCCAGCAGCCGCGGUAAUACAUAGGGAGCAAGCGUUAUCCGGAUUUAUUGGGUGUAAAGGGUGCGUAGACGGGAAUACAAGUUGGUUGUGAAAGCCCUCGGCUUAACUGAGGAACUGCAACCAAAACUAUAUUUCUUGAGUAUCGGAGAG